UACGUAGGGUGCAAGCGUUGUCCGGAAUUAUUGGGCGUAAAGAGCUCGUAGGCGGUCUGUCGCGUCGGCUGUGAAAUCCCGAGGCUCAACCUCGGGUCUGCAGUCGAUACGGGCAAACUAGAGUAUUGCAGGGGAGACUGGAAUUCCUGGUGUAGCGGUGAAAUGCGUAGAUAUCUGGAGGAACACCGGUGGCGAAGGCGGCAUCCUGGACCGGUAUUGACGCUGAUGCGCGAAAGCCAGGGGAGCAAACGGG
rnacentral:rRNA from 1 species